rnacentral:rRNA from 1 species
GAUGAACGCUGGCGGCGUGCUUAACACAUGCAAGUCGAACGGAGUUUACAUGAAACCUAGUGAUUGUAAACUUAGUGGCGGACGGGUGAGUAACGCGUGGGUAACCUGCCUUAUACCGGGGGACAACAGUUAGAAAUGACUGCUAAUACCGCAUAAGCGCACGGUGUCGCAUGACACAGUGUGAAAAACUCCGGUGGUAUAAGAUGGACCCGCGUCUGAUUAGCCAGUUGGUGAGGUAACGGCCCACCAAAGCAACGAUCAGUAGCCGGCCUGAGAGGGUGAACGGCCACAUUGGGACUGAGACACGGCCCAAACUCCUACGGGAGGCAGCAGUGGGGAAUAUUGGACAAUGGGGGAAACCCUGAUCCAGCGACGCCGCGUGAGUGAAGAAGUAUUUCGGUAUGUAAAGCUCUAUCAGCAAGGAAGAUAAUGACGGUAC